rnacentral:lncRNA from 1 species
GAAAAUCAUUUAUUUAUUAAGAAAAUGAUACAUUAAUAUAGAAAAUCAAACAUUUAUCAUGUCAGAUAAUAGAGAAAAUAAAAAAAAUCAUGAACUGCUCAGAUUUUCAUAUCAUGGUUCACAAAAUUGUUACAACUUCCAUCUUUGAGGGCAGAUACAGAUUUCUAACUACCUAUGUGGAAUGACCAAAUCGGAUACAAAUAUGACAAUUUUCUCAAGCCCAUUU